UACGAAGGGGGCUAGCGUUGUUCGGAAUUACUGGGCGUAAAGCGCACGUAGGCGGAUAUUUAAGUCAGGGGUGGAAUCCCGGGGCUCAACCUCGGAACUGCCUUUGAUACUGCAAAUCUCGAGUCCGGAAGAGGUGAGUGGAAUUCCUAGUGUAGAGGUGAAAUUCGUAGAUAUUAGGAAGAACACCAGUGGCGAAGGCGGCUCACUGGUCCGGUACUGACGCUGAGGUGCGAAAGCGUGGGGAGCAAACAGG
rnacentral:rRNA from 1 species